AUGGAGUGUGCUGGGCCAGGCCGGAGCCAGCCAGGGCAGCAGACCCGCUCAGAGCUUUCAGACAGAACCAGCUGCCGGGAGCAGGUGCCCAGUUUCAGCCGUGAGCCUCCUGCUUCUCCACACUCUCAGCUCGGAGUUCUGAUACACUCUUGGCUUCGCAGAGUCACUCAACAAACGUCUAUUGAGCACCUACUGUGUGCCAGGCGUUGCGUAGGCCCUGGUGACACAGAGGCACACACCUGGACAGAGCUCAUCAUCACCAGAGGGCUCCAGAGCAAUCCAUUUGAAAACUUUCCCUCAGAUCAAGAACUUGCUAUGGCUCCUUGUGUCAGCCACUUCAGAAACCUGUUCCUAGGUCAGAAGUGACUUUCUUCUCAGUAGUGACUUGGUUUGGAAUGUGCCCCUGGCUCCCUGGCAGCUUGGGCAGCAGAGGGCACGUUUGGCCGGUGAGCUAGAUGGACCAGGAUGCCUGUGGCUCUGUCCCCUGGGCGGCCACCCCAGCUGCCAUGCGCCCGCCCCUUGCUCUGUGACCUGUGCCCUUCCUCUGCCUGCGUGUGGACCAGCGUGUGGACCAGUGGCUGAGCCUGAGAGGGAGCACCUGGUGGAGGGACCCGCCCCUGCCGUCUUGACAGAGGACACAGCCACACUCUGCCAGCCCUGCCACUGCCGGCGGCCACUCCCUCACAGCCCAGCCUGGUCCUUGGCAGCCUCACCCCUUCUCAAGCCUUGUCUUAGCCAGCAGCCACCUCCCCUUCCAGCCCCCCAACCCCCAUGAUCCUUUAAAGGACCCCAGAGCCCCGAGGAGAGCAUCCCGUUUGGUCUCAGCGCCACAGCAGCCCACUCAGGUUUGUUCUGAAAUAAACCUGUCCUGUCGAGCUUGUGCCUUUCUUCUCCUUUCUUCCUAACUGGGAUGGCAGAGCCCGGAGUCCCUGCUAGACACAUGGAACCAGCCUGUGAUCAAGGACAUCCACCCCUUGGGGACCCCCAGCCUGCAGCUUCUGGUGACACGAUAAAGCCCCUGAGCUGGUUUUGGGGACCUGCAACACUGGGCAGUACUGGGAGGCUGGAGGGAAUGAGCCAACUUGAGGAUUCCUGGCAGAGAAAAGUAGCCCUGAGCCGAGAUGUACUUCGGUGACGCCUGAAAGUAUUUCUAGUGAGUGCUUAU
rnacentral:lncRNA from 1 species